rnacentral:rRNA from 1 species
UGGGGAAUAUUGGACAAUGGGGGCAACCCUGAUCCAGCAAUGCCGCGUGUGUGAAGAAGGUUUUCGGAUUGUAAAGCACUUUCGACGGGGACGAUGAUGACGGUACCCGUAGAAGAAGCCCCGGCUAACUUCGUGCCAGCAGCCGCGGUAAUACGAAGGGGGCUAGCGUUGCUCGGAAUGACUGGGCGUAAAGGGCGUGUAGGCGGUUUGUACAGUCAGAUGUGAAAUCCCCGGGCUUAACCUGGGAGCUGCAUUU